rnacentral:tRNA from 1 species
CGCCACUUGGCCAAGGUGCCGUUGCGGCUGAUCGAUAUGGCCGGCGACAACGGAUCGUAACCGCCGGCGGCGGCC